AUGAACGCUAGCUACAGGCUUAACACAUGCAAGUCGAGGGGCAGCGGUAUCGAAAGCUUGCUUUCGGUAGCCGGCGACCGGCGCACGGGUGAGUAACGCGUAUCGAACCUGCCUCAUACUCGGGAAUAGCCUUGCGAAAGUAAGAUUAAUGCCCGGUGUUUUCAGAGUCCCGCAUGAGGCUUUGAACAAAGAUUUAUCGGUAUGAGAUGGCGAUGCGUCCCAUUAGCUUGUUGGCGGGGUAACGGCCCACCAAGGCAUCGAUGGGUAGGGGUUCUGAGAGGAAGGUCCCCCACAUUGGAACUGAGACACGGUCCAAACUCCUACGGGAGGCAGCAGUGAGGAAUAUUGGUCAAUGGGCGGAAGCCUGAACCAGCCAAGUAGCGUGCAGGAAGACGGCCCUCCGGGUUGUAAACUGCUUUUAGUUGGGAAUAAAACGGGGCUCGUGAGCCCCCUUGCAUGUACCAUCAGAAAAAGGACCGGCUAAUUCCGUGCCAGCAGCCGCGGUAAUACGGAAGGUCCGGGCGUUAUCCGGAUUUAUUGGGUUUAAAGGGAGCGCAGGCGGGCCUUUAAGUCAGCUGUGAAAUACGGCGGCUCAACCGUCGAACUGCAGUUGAUACUGGAGGUCUUGAGUGCACACAGGGAUGCUGGAAUUCAUGGUGUAGCGGUGAAAUGCUCAGAUAUCAUGAAGAACUCCGAUCGCGAAGGCAGGCAUCCGGGGUGCAACUGACGCUGAGGCUCGAAAGUGCGGGUAUCAAACAGGAUUAGAUACCCUGGUAGUCCGCACAGUAAACGAUGAAUACUCGCGGUUUGCGAUACAAUGUAAGCCGCCAAGCGAAAGCGUUAAGUAUUCCACCUGGGGAGUACGCCGGCAACGGUGAAACUCAAAGGAAUUGACGGGGGCCCGCACAAGCGGUGGAGCAUGUGGUUUAAUUCGAUGGUACGCGAGGAACCUUACCUGGGUUUGACAUGCACGGUGAUACCGGGGAGAUCCGGGGGUCCAGCAAUGGAACCGUGCACAGGUGCUGCAUGGCUGUCGUCAGCUCGUGCCGUGAGGUGUCGGCUUAAGUGCCAUAACGAGCGCAACCCUCAUCCUCGUUUGCCAUCAGGUGAUGCUGGGCACUCCGGGGACACUGCCAUCGUAAGAUGUGAGGAAGGUGGGGAUGACGUCAAAUCAGCACGGCCCUUACGUCCGGGGCUACACACGUGUUACAAUGGGCGGUACAGAGGGCAGCCACUGCGCGAGCAGGAGCCAAUCCUCAAAGCCGUUCUCAGUUCGGACUGGAGUCUGCAACCCGACUCCACGAAGCUGGAUUCGCUAGUAAUCGCGCAUCAGCCAUGGCGCGGUGAAUACGUUCCCGGGCCUUGUACACACCGCCCGUCAAGCCAUGAAAGCCGGGAGCACUUGAAGGCCGUGACCGCAAGGGUCGGUCUAGAGUGAUACUGGUAAUUGGGGCU
rnacentral:rRNA from 1 species